UCAGGUGAGAGGAAAGCAGCUUACCUGGCUGCCUGGAGGAAGGCCCAGCUGUACGGGGACUGGCGGAAGGAGCAGUUCCAGGCCUGUGAGUGACUCGUGUCCUUUC